rnacentral:rRNA from 1 species
GUAGGUGGCAAGCGUUGUCCGGAAUUAUUGGGCGUAAAGCGCGCGCAGGCGGUUCUUUAAGUCUGAUGUGAAAGCCCACGGCUCAACCGUGGAGGGUCAUUGGAAACUGGAGAACUUGAGUACAGAAGAGGAAAGCGGAAUUCCACGUGUAGCGGUGAAAUGCGUAGAGAUGUGGAGGAACACCAGUGGCGAAGGCGGCUUUCUGGUCUGUAACUGACGCUGAGGCGCGAAAGCGUGGGGAGCAAACAGGGAUUAGAUACCCUGGUAGUCCACGCCGUAAACGAUGAGUGCUAAGUGUUAGGGGGUUUCCGCCCCCUUAGUGCUGCAGCUAACGCAUUAAGCACUCCGCCCCGGGGAGUACGCCGCAAGGCUG